CCGACAGGAGCUGAGCCUGGCCCUGGGUGUGCUCUGGAGUUAGACCAGGCUGGGGCAGGCAGAAAGGAGAGCAGGAAAGGAGACAUAGAGAGAGCAAACUCACCCAAGUGUGUGAGGGGGCGAGAGGAGAUGGAUAGAACGUGAGGGAGAGAAAAAAAGAAGUAGAUUGUGAGGAUGGGAGAGGGGAGGAAAGAGAGAGUGUGGUGUGAGACAGUGAGACGCAGAGUGGGCUGGAGGGAGACUGUGUGAGAAAGAGACGAGAGAGAGAGGGAGAGAAAGAGAGAGUGGGAAAGAGAGGGAGUGGGAGAGACAAGGGGGACAGAAGGAGAAUUAGAGAGGGCCACUGCAGAGACAAGUGACUGUGUGUGUGUGUGAGAGAGAGACAGAGAGAGAGAGACAGAGAGAGAGAGAGAGAGGGAGGCAGGGGGACCGAAGGACCCAGGGAGAGAGACAGACAGAGAGGGGGAGAGAGAGAGAGAGAGAAACAGUGAAAGAGAGAGAGGGACAGAGAGACCGCAGGAGAGAGGGGAAAGAGAGAGAGUGUAGGGGAGAGAGAGGGGGGGGGAACGGAGAAAGAAGGAGAGACAGAUAGGGACAGAGAGACUAGGGGAGAGAGAGAGAGAGAGAAACAGUGAGAGAGAGAGAGGGACAGAGAGACCGCAGGAGAGAGGGGAAAGAGAGAGAGUGUAGGGGAGAGAGAGAGAGAGACACAGAGAGAGGGAGAGAGAGGGUGAAUCGCUGAUUAACACAGCGGAUGAAUGUGUGUGGGGGCGGAUGAAUGUGUGUGCUUUACACAAAGCAGUGAUUGUGAUAGAAAGGAUCCCUAGGAUUCCCACACGCGGCACAGAAGUGACUCAGAGCUGAGAUCAGCAGGGAGUCAACUCUAAGCAGGAAUGUGAAGAAUGUGUGAAGGUGAUUUCCAUUCCUUCUGGCUGCCUCCCAUCGUCAUCUUCCAGCUCAGUCUGCUCAAAACAACAGAGGCAUUGUUCCCGACAUCAGAGACGAUCUGAGGGAUUGGUUGCUGUUUCAGAGCCAGACUGGCGUGUCAGAGACCUCAGAGGGAGGCCAACACCAUCACAGCUCACAUAUCUCAGUCUCGCCCCUUGACUGAAGUUCACUCAGCCCGGGAUUAAACCAGGAGCAGUCAUCUCUCUCAAAGUGCUGAGGGAGAGGACACUGUCGGAGGGAAUGUGAAGAAUGUGUGAAGGUGAUUUCCAUUCCUUCUGGCUGCCUCCCAUCGUCAUCUUCCAGCUCAGUCUGCUCAGUUUGGUGAUGGGCUCCGUCCCUGUGAUCGUUGCUGAGUUUGGGCGUGACGUGACCAUCCCGUGUACAUUCCAGCCAGACCGUGAGUUUCCCCUGCGUUACCUGGUGUUAACCUGGCAGCUGAGUGUCUCUGCCCAGGUAAUUCACAGUUACUACUACCAGCAAGAGCAGCUUACACAGCAGGAUCCCGUCUACCACAAUCGGACCCAGCUCUUUGUGCAGGAGUUAGCACAGGGGAACGCCUCACUGCGGCUGAGGGCUGUGCGCCUGAUGGACCAGGCCGAAUAUCUGUGUUCUGUUAGCACCAUGCUCCAACGCAGCUCUCACACGGUCAGCCUGCGUGUCGCAGCUCCCUACAGUGAACCGAAGGUGACCUUUGACAUGGGCAACUGCUCGGGCCCUGGGCUGGUCAAUGUGUCCAGUUCAGGGGGGUAUCCGAAACCGGAGGUGGGGUGGAUCGCUGCGGGAUGCAACAACGUGACCGAGGAGAGCAGGACGGUGUUCUGGACUGGCAGGGGGGGACUGUACUCCAUGGUUAGCAGCAUUCCCAUCCCCCUGGGACCUGCCAGCAAUUACACCUUCAUCCUGGAGAACCCCCUCCUGGGGCAGCACAUGGUCAGGCCCCUGGCCAUCGUGGGUUCCUGCCAGGGGGAGGCGAGCUCACCUGAACACAGGCUGCACCUUAGCUAUGGCCUGGCCAUGGCCAUGCUCGCGACCAUCUCUCUCGGCCUCGGGUUCCUCCUCUUUCAGAGCUGCAGGGAAUCCAGGAGGAAUCGAACUCUCUGAGUGAGUCAGGACUCGAACAUCUUGACACCAAGAACAGCUAUGUAAGAAUCUUACUCAUUGACUACAGUUCAGCCUUCAACACUAUUAUCCCCUCAAGACUGAUUACUAAACGUAGUGAUCUUGGACUAAGCCCCACUCUCUGUAACUGGAUCCUCAGUUUCCUGACCCACAGGCCUCAAUCAACGAAGAUUGGGGACAGUAUUUCACCGUCACUAACACUCAACACUGGAGCCCCCCAGGGGUGUGUACUCAGCCCCCUACUGUACUCACUGUAUACCCAUGGCUGCGUCGCCAAAUACCAGACUAAUGCCAUUUAUAAGUUCGCUGAUGACCCCACCAUGGUCGGUCAGAUCUCAGAUGGUGAUGAAACAGAUUACAGCCGGGAGAGGGAAAACCUGGAAACAUGGUGCACUGAGAACAACCGAGCUCCCAAUGCCGGCAAAACCAAGGAACUCGUUAUUGACUUUCGGCGGGAUGUUACUCAUGCCCCCCACACAUUAACAGCACAGAGGGGGAAUGUGUGGAGAGGGUCAAGCUCCUGGGAGUGGUCAUCCACAACAAGCUUUCUUGCACUCUUCAUGUGGACGCACUGGUUACAAAGGCCCAACAACGUCUCCUCUUCCUCAGGCAGCUGAGGGAAUUUGCCAUGACGGUGAAUACCCUUACCAACGUUUAUAGGUGUCCCAUCGAGAGCGUUCUGUCUGGGUGUGUCACUACCUGGUAUGGCACCUGUACCGUUCAGUAUCGGAGACGGUUACAGAGAGUGGGGAACUCGGCCCGGACAAUCACAAAGGGCAAACUCCCCAUCUACAGAAUCCAUCUCCCAGGCCCGCUGUCAAGGAAAGGCCACCAGCAUUCUCAAAGAUCCAUCCCACCCUGGCAAUGUUUUUCUACACUCUCUACCCUCUGGGAGAAGCUGCUGCCCGGAGGAACCUGAUGAUUUCCCGCCAGCUCAACAUCGGGGCGGUGAUGAUCGGCCUCAUCGUACAUUUCGUCUGGGUGGCCCGGCUCGUCAUCACCUUCAUCGAGCGCGUCUGAGACGCUCUCAUCCCCCUCCCCCCUCACAGCCCCCCGGUCUGCCCCAGCGAGGGUGUCAGAGACGCUCUCUCCCCCCGGUCUGCCCCAGCGAGGGUGUCUGAGACGCUCCCCUCCUCACCACCACCCGCCUGCACCCCUCCCCCACUCGCACCAUCCUGCCUUUGAACUACCACACAGCCCACCCCACCACUCCUCCCCCUGACCCCUGGGGGGGGGGGACCCUGGCAGGGGAGGAGUGUUGGGGGUGGGGCUGUGGCUAACACCACCCCCUGGGUCCAUCAUUACCGAGAGUCCCGGGCGAGGCACAUCAAGACCCCACAGGAUAGCCACUCCGCGGAGAUGGAUGCACAGCAUGAUCCCACAGGACGGAGGGUUUGCCUGUGAAAGUGAUGCUGACCCAGGGGUAAAGGAACUCACUGGCGCACAGCGCACCCUGCCCUGAUCAGACCCUCCCAGAAGGCAGCUGGGGGGACUCCUGAAACACAGCCUGCGCCAACUUGGAUUUCAUCCACCCCCCCAAGCCCUAUCUCCCACCCCCCCCAAGUCCAGCCUGAAGAGGUGAUUAUGACCUGGUGCUGAGGGUCUGUCUCUGUCUGGGACAGGGUUAACCAUCCCCAGACCCCUCCCCUGGGUCAGUAUCACACCGAACCUCCCCAUCCCCUGGCCAGCCUGUGGGUGGGACAGUGAGGGGGGAAAUGGAUGUGGUGGGGUGGGGGGAACAGGUUUAAGAAGUGUCAUUUAAAACUGACCCUCUGUAAAUUUCCUUCAACAAUUGUGAAGACAAUCCAAAUAAACUCUC